rnacentral:lncRNA from 1 species
CUCCGCCCCUGGUGGUCGUGACCUCUAACGACCUCUAACGACCUCCGCGUUCCUCCCUCAGAGUAAGUACAAGGAGGCCGGCAGGAGGAGCCUCUCCCAGAGCUUCUACUCUCAGCUGCCUCAGACCGCCGACACCACGUUUGCUAAAGGUGUCGCUGAGCUGCAGAGCGAGAUGCGUUACAAGGAGGCCGGUAAGAAGGCGGCGAGCUCGUGUUUGUACUCCCUGCUUCCGGAGACUUUGGAGACGGCCCACGCCAGAGAAGCCUCCGAGCUGCUCAGCGAGGUGAAGUAUAAAGAAGCUGUGAAGCUGCAGACCCAGAGCAGUUUGUACCAUCAGCUCCCGGAGACCACGGAGACCCAGCUGGCCAAGCAGCUGUCUGAGCUGCAGAGCCAGGUACGCUGGAAGCAUUUAGUUUGAAAAGUGUGAAACGUAGCUAAGCUACGUCCCAA